rnacentral:rRNA from 1 species
GUGGGGAAUAUUGGACAAUGGGCGAAAGCCUGAUCCAGCCAUGCCGCGUGUGUGAAGAAGGUCUUCGGAUUGUAAAGCACUUUAAGUUGGGAGGAAGGGCAGUAAGUUAAUACCUUGCUGUUUUGACGUUACCGACAGAAUAAGCACCGGCUAACUUCGUGCCAGCAGCCGCGGUAAUACGAAGGGUGCAAGCGUUAAUCGGAAUUACUGGGCGUAAAGCGCGCGUAGGUGGUUUUGUAAGUUGGAGGUGAAAUCCCCGGGCUCAACCUGGGAACUGCCUCCAAAACUGCAUGACUAGAGUACGGUAGAGGGUAGUGGAAUUUCCUGUGUAGCGGUGAAAUGCGUAGAUAUAGGAAGGAACACCAGUGGCGAAGGCGACUACCUGGACUGAUACUGACACUGAGGUGCGAAAGCGUGGGGAGCAAACAGGAUUAGAAACCCGUGUAGUC